rnacentral:rRNA from 1 species
UAAUACGGAGGGUGCAAGCGUUAUCCGGAUUCACUGGGUUUAAAGGGUGCGUAGGUGGGCAGGUAAGUCAGUGGUGAAAUCUCCGGGCUUAACUCGGAAACUGCCGUUGAUACUAUCUGUCUUGAAUAUCGUGGAGGUUAGCGGAAUAUGUCAUGUAGCGGUGAAAUGCUUAGAUAUGACAUAGAACACCCAUUGCGAAGGCAGCUAACUACACGAUCAUUGACACUGAGGCACGAAAGCGUGGGGAGCAAACAGGAUUAGAUACCCUGGUAGUC